AUACGGAGGGUGCAAGCGUUACUCGGAAUCACUGGGCGUAAAGCGCGCGCAGGCGGCCAUUUAAGUUGGAUGUGAAAGCCUACGGCUCAACCGUAGAACUGCAUCCAAAACUAUUAGACUAGAGUGUGGGAGAGGAAGAUGGAAUUAGUUGUGUAGGGGUAAAAUCCGUAGAGAUAACUAGGAAUACCAAAAGCGAAGGCAAUCUUCUGGAACACUACUGACGCUGAGGCGCGAAAGCGUGGGGAGCAAACGGGAUUAGAAACCCUAGUAGUCC
rnacentral:rRNA from 1 species